AUGCGCCUCCUCCACGACCGUUCCUACUGCAGAUCGCACACCAGGUGGAUUCGACGUGGCCUCCGGUGCUCCCCAGCGACGCUCGAGGUCUCCGGCAUCAAGCUGCCUCCUCUGGCGUCUGGCCCUGGCACCCACCGCCUCACCAAGCUGCGCCUCCAUAACGUCUGUCUCCACAAGGAUUUUGAGAAGAACCUCAGCUCCGGGCUCCCCAUCCUACAAGACCUCGAGAUCAGGAGCACGGAGAUGUCCAAAAUCUCAAGAAUCGCGUCUGAGACGCUCAAGAACCUCAUCGUUGAUAACUCCCCCACAUCCAACGAAGGAACACGGUUGGGAUUCCUCAUCGACGCCCCUCGCCUCGCCUCGCUGCACCUCGUCGUUCAGUUUCGUCGCCUCGGAGUUUUUUCUGUCACCGUAUGUGAGGCGGCUUCCCCUAUCCAAGCAUCCAUCCACUUUCUGGACAGGCCUAAACUCCAACAGGUUCAUGGGGGUUGCUACUAUUGGCAAGAUGACAAAGAUUUGCUCACAGCGCUCUGCAAACUUCUCCGAUCACUAUCCAACGUCACUUGCUUGGAGUUGUCAGGCUUCCAAGAUAUGGUGUGCACAUCAUUUCAAUUUCCAUACGCACAUUUAUUUAUUCUCGAGAAUGCAUGUAUACUUAACCCUCUUUUCUUCUCUACAAUGUAUAUAUACAGGCAGUAG
rnacentral:rRNA from 1 species